ACCAAAUCUGCCAGAGGCCUUCAGAUUCAACAAUGUAUCAGAAUCAGAAUCAGAAUCAGAAUAGUUUUAUUGCCAUUGUUUGAGAACGGGUUCACACAGCUCCUUGAAUUCCUUGCACUGUAAAGUGAACGGACACAUACAGUUGAUAGAUCAUUGCAAUAGCCAAUCAGAUCAGGAGUUGUCAGUAAGGCCUUCUAGCUGGCCUAAGGUUGAACGUGACAUUUACGUGUCGUGUGAUUGGACACUCACCGGGACUGUUAGCGGAUGAAUUUGAGAACACAUAGAGUUGAUAGACAGUUGCGAUAGCCAAUCAGAUCACAAGUUGUUGUCAGUAGCGUCUCCAGGUAGCCUGAUGGUAACGAGACUGUGAUUGGACACACACUUGUCAUUCCAAAGUGAGCAUCCAUUCACAAGUUUCAACUUAGCAGGAAGUGUUGACCCACAAAGGAGAACAAAACGUUGAUUAGGUGGCAGAUACAUAUUUGCAGGGUCAUUUUCAAGAAAGGAUAUUUAAAGAGACUACAUCUUGUGGGACCAUGUCGGCGAUGAAAUGGGCAAAUGCUCGCCACUUCCACUGGAAUCAAGCGACUACGAGGAUCACCACUGGCUUACACGGCGUCCAAUGGCUUCUACAAAUUCCGCACGUAUGCAAAUGAGACGUUGACAGGGGUGCAGUUCUGUGGUAAACACUGAGGACCUACUACAAAGUGAGCAAAGAUCCUCUAUAUGACAGGAGUGCUGCACAAAUAUCCCAGCCUCAGGACGCUGGGUUAAAGGGUCCAGGAGCAAGUAGGAUGUAAACACUGCCGGCAGGAAACAUGUGACACGU